UGGGGAAUAUUGCACAAUGGGGGAAACCCUGAUGCAGCGACGCCGCGUGAACGAAGAAGGUAUUCGUAUCGUAAAGUUCUGUCCUAUGGGAAGAUAAUGACAGUACCAUAGAAGAAAGCUCCGGCUAAAUACGUGCCAGCAGCCGCGGUAAUACGUAUGGAGCGAGCGUUGUCCGGAAUUAUUGGGCGUAAAGGGUACGCAGGCGGUUUAAUAAGUCGAAUGUUAAAGAUCGGGGCUCAACCCCGCAAAGCAUUGGAAACUGAUAAACUUGAGUAGUGGAGAGGAAAGUGGAAUUCCUAGUGUAGUGGUGAAAUACGUAGAUAUUAGGAGGAAUACCAGUAGCGAAGGCGACUUUCUGGACACAAACUGACGUUGAGGUACGAAAGCGUGGGGAGCAAACAGG
rnacentral:rRNA from 1 species